rnacentral:rRNA from 1 species
UACGAAGGGGGCAAGCGUUGUUCGGAAUGACUGGGCGUAAAGAGCUCGUAGGCGGUUUGUCGCGUCUGCUGUGAAAACCCGAGGCUCAACCUCGGGCCUGCAGUGGGUACGGGCAGACUAGAGUGCGGUAGGGGAGAUUGGAAUUCCUGGUGUAGCGGUGGAAUGCGCAGAUAUCAGGAGGAACACCAAUGGCGAAGGCGGCAUCCUGGACCGGCAUUGACGCUGAGGCGCGAAAGCCAGGGGAGCAAACGGG